GGAGAAGGCUAGGUGGGCCAGGCGACGGUUGUCCUGGUUCAAGUGCGUAGGCUUGAGAGUUAGGUAAAUCCGGCUCUCUUUAAGGCUGAGACACGACGUCGAGCUGCUACGGCAGUGAAGUCAUUGAUGCCAUGCUUCCAGGAAAAGCCUCUAAGCUUCAGAUAGUCAGGAAUCGUACCCCAAACCGACACAGGUGGUCGGGUAGAGAAUACCAAGGCGCUUGAGAGAACUCGGGUGAAGGAACUAGGCAAAAUGGUACCGUAACUUCGGGAGAAGGUACGCUCUUGAUGGUGAAGUCCCUCGCGGAUGGAGCUGACGAGAGUCGCAGAUACCAGGUGGCUGCAACUGUUUAUUAAAAACACAGCACUGUGCAAAAUCGCAAGAUGACGUAUACGGUGUGACGCCUGCCCGGUGCCGGAAGGUUAAUUGAUGGGGUUAGCGCAAGCGAAGCUCUUGAUCGAAGCCCCGGUAAACGGCGGCCGUAACUAUAACGGUCCUAAGGUAGCGAAAUUCCUUGUCGGGUAAGUUCCGACCUGCACGAAUGGCGUAAUGAUGGCCACGCUGUCUCCACCCGAGACUCAGUGAAAUUGAAAUCGCUGUGAAGAUGCAGUGUACCCGCGGCUAGACGGAAAGACCCCGUGAACCUUUACUACAGCUUGGCACUGAACAUUGAACCUACAUGUGUAGGAUAGGUGGGAGGCUAUGAAGACGUGACGCCAGUUGCGUUGGAGCCGUCCUUGAAAUACCACCCUUGUAUGUUUGAUGUUCUAACUUAGACCCAUUAUCUGGGUUGAGGACAGUGCCUGGUGGGUAGUUUGACUGGGGCGGUCUCCUCCCAAAGAGUAACGGAGGAGCACGAAGGUGGGCUAAUCACGGUUGGACAUCGUGAGGUUAGUGCAAUGGCAUAAGCCCGCUUAACUGCGAGAAUGACGGUUCGAGCAGGUGCGAAAGCAGGUCAUAGUGAUCCGGUGGUUCUGUAUGGAAGGGCCAUCGCUCAACGGAUAAAAGGUACUCCGGGGAUAACAGGCUGAUACCGCCCAAGAGUUCAUAUCGACGGCGGUGUUUGGCACCUCGAUGUCGGCUCAUCACAUCCUGGGGCUGAAGUCGGUCCCAAGGGUAUGGCUGUUCGCCAUUUAAAGUGGUACGCGAGCUGGGUUUAGAACGUCGUGAGACAGUUCGGUCCCUAUCUGCCGUGGGCGUUGGAAGAUUGAAGGGGGCUGCUCCUAGUACGAGAGGACCGGAGUGGACGAACCUCUGGUGUUCGGGUUGUGUCGCCAGACGCAUUGCCCGGUAGCUAAGUUCGGAAUUGAUAAGCGCUGAAAGCAUCUAAGCGCGAAGCGAGCCCUGAGAUGAGUCUUCCCUGAUACUUUAAGUAUCCUAAAGGGUUGUUCGAGACUAGAACGUUGAUAGGCAGGGUGUGUAAGCGUUGUGAGGCGUUGAGCUAACCUGUACUAAUUGCCCGUGAGGCUUAACCAU
rnacentral:rRNA from 1 species